GACCACAUCACAUUAAAACACUGCUUCCCAUAUGCACACCGAAAUUAAGCAACAUUGAGCAUAGUCAGUACUUGGAUGGGUGACAACUUGGGAAUACCAGGUGCUA